rnacentral:rRNA from 1 species
CCCGUAGGGCGCAAGCGUUGUCCGGAAUUAUUGGGCGUAAAGAGCUCGUAGGCGGUCUGUUACGUCUGCUGUGAAAACCCAGGGCUUAACCCUGGGCUUGCAGUGGAUACGGGCAGACUAGAGGCAGGUAGGGGAGAAUGGAAUUCCCGGUGUAGCGGUGAAAUGCGCAGAUAUCGGGAGGAACACCGGUGGCGAAGGCGGUUCUCUGGGCCUGACCUGACGCUGAGGAGCGAAAGCGUGGGGAGCGAACAGG